GCACUGUAGUCAGAGUUUGAUCCUGGCUCAGGAUGAACGCUGGCGGCGUGCCUAACACAUGCAAGUCGAGCGCGACUGAUUUGAUGCUUGCAUCAUUGAAAGUUGACCGGCGGAUGGGUGAGUAACGCGUAUGCAACUUGCCUCUUAGUGGGGAAUAACCCGGAGAAAUCCGGACUAAUACCGCAUACACUUAGUUAUCCGCAUGGAUGAUUAAGGAAAGAUUUAUUGCUAAGAGAUAGGCAUGCGUUCCAUUAGUUAGUUGGUGAGGUAACGGCUCACCAAGGCAUCGAUGGAUAGGGGAGCUGAGAGGCUUAUCCCCCACAUUGGGACUGAGACACGGCCCAA
rnacentral:rRNA from 1 species